AGGAAACACCGGUAACCGUAUGAUCACUGAAGUUAAGCAACGUCGAGCCUGAUCACUACCUAGAUGGGUGAGAGCUUGGGAAUAUCAGCUAUUGUAC